UACGUAGGGUGCGAGCGUUGUCCGGAUUCAUUGGGCGUAAAGAGCUCGUAGGCGGCUUUGCAAGUCGGAUGUGAAAACUCCAGGCUCAACCUGGAGCCGCCAUUCGAUACUGCUAUGGCUAGAGUCCGGUAGGGGAGUGUGGAAUUCCCGGUGUAGCGGUGAAAUGCGCAGAUAUCGGGAGGAACACCAGUGGCGAAGGCGGCUCACUGGACCGGUACUGACGCUGAUGCGCGAAAGCGUGGGGAGCGAACAGG
rnacentral:rRNA from 1 species